CAAAAGGGGAAAUUUCCUGCGACAUUGUGAGGUCAUCAUACUGGUGCACCCUUGGCCUUGUCAGUGGGUGAGGUCACAUCACUAAACUGUCUGAAGAAGCAUCAACAUGGAGAUUGAAUUGGAGACCAUUGUUCUGUUCGAAUUGUAGUUUGUGGAAGAUGCAAUGAUGAAAUUAAUUUGAAUUGUCAAUGUUGUAUUUUAAGCAUAUAAGCGAUGUUCAGAUGAUGGUACUGUAGCACUGUUUAAAGUUUUUAAUAUUGUUGUUAUUUACAAUGGAAACUACUGUAACAGAAGAAAAUAAA